rfam:Ruminococcaceae bacterium strain KHP2 genome assembly, contig: Ga0059115_110
ACUUAAAAACAAUUCAUACCGAAGACAGCCGGGAAUCCAUACGGAUCCCCCGCCGAGGUUGAAACUCUUAUCUAUUUAGGAUUACGAGAUUUUCAAAACCCUCAUGUCAUUCGGCGUGAGGGUUUUAAAAUCUAUAA